rnacentral:rRNA from 1 species
GAUGAACGCUGGCGGCGUGCCUAAUACAUGCAAGUCGAGCGAAAAGACGAGGAACUUGCUUCUCUGACGUAAGCGGCGGACGGGGGAGUAAAACGUGGAGAACAUAGCUAUAAGACGGGGAUAAAUUAGGGAAAACGGAACCAAUAACGGCAAAAAUAUGGAAGAGCAAGGAUGAAUAGUGAAAGACGGCUUGGCUGUGACUGAGAGAAGGAGCCGCGACGCAUUAGCUAGUUGGUAGGGUAACGGCUUACCAAGGCAACGAUGCGUAGCCGACCUGAGAGGGUGAUCGGCCACACUGGAACUGAGACACGGUCCAGACUCCUACGGGAGGCAGCAGUAGGGAAUCUUCCGCAAUGGGCGAAAGCCUGACGGAGCCACGCCGCGUGUGUGAUGAAGGUCUUCGGAUCGUAAAGCUCUUUUAUCAGGGAAGAACAAAUUUGUAUGUAUCUCUGCACGUCUUGACGUUACCUAAUCAGAAAGCCACGGCUAACUACGUG